AGCAUGGAGCUCCAAACGUCUGAGCCACCAGGCUGGCCCGCUUUUGUUAUUUUUAAUAUUUGACAAAGUCCCUGCUUCUCCCAGCUUAGUACCUGGUUCCCCUGUGGUUUUAUUUAUACAUUUAUUCCUGGAAGUGCUGGUAUGCUCACUACCCAGUUCCAGGAAGAGGCAGAAAACUAUUGUUUCUCCUGGAUUAGUAGUAUUAGGUACAGGGUUAGUACCGUACAGGUAGGUUUCACUUAGUGUGAAAUGUCAGGUGAUUUGGGGUCCCCUUUUGCUCCUUUGAACUUUUAUAACAGCAGAAGUUUCUCCUAAUACCACACUGAUUCCCAAAUGAAUGCUCCUCAUCCAGGAACAAAUUUACCAGCUGGAAGCCCCCUCAGUACCCACCAGCAGCAUUCCAAGAUGAAGUACGUAAUAAAAAAUGAUGGACCUCCCUCAAAGAAGAAAGAAUUAUGCCAAAAUACUGCCUUCAGACUCAGACUGCAGCAUCGUUGUUUCCCUGGGUACCCAAUCUGUCAGCACUCCCUGCAAAUUUUGGACCUGCCAGUUUCCACA